CCAGACCCUAGACCAGGCAGACCUCAGAUCAGGACCAAAAUAACAGACCUCAGAUCAGGACCAAAAUAACAGACCUCAGGUGACCCAAAAGUGAAGCAGUGAUCCUGUCCUGUGUGAAGAUUCAGCAUUCCUGUCAGCAGCCUGUUCCUGUCAGCAGCCUGUUCCUGUCAGCAGUGAAGAGAGAGCAGCCAAAAUAAGCAUCCGCUCCCUUGGAGAUGCAGCCGGGAAAUGAAGCCGCACUACCGACGCCAUCUGAAAACUCGGUUGCUAUGUGACGUCACUUCCGGAAGUGAUGUCACAAAACAGGAAGUUGGUCCCGGAAGAGAGCCACAGCAGCGCGCACGUACAGAAGAUGAAGAAGAACAAGGAAGAAGAUGGCAGAGACCCCUUGGACACCAUGGGACAGUGCCGGUUUGAGAUUUCUCCAACCUCUUACCCUUACAGCAGGAAAGAUCAGCAUAUUGUAGGAACAACCCGGUUUCUGUAGUUAGCUGCUGGUUUUCUUCAACAAUCCACAAGUAAUACAUCAUGGAUCAGCGAUUCCAGCAUGGUCUGACUUUGAACAGACAACCACUCUAUCCUGUCUGUAGAACUUUGGCACAUUCUGGAUAUGGAAAUUUAAAUGAAUGUUAUCUAUAUAAUUCUUCUAACCCUAACUCUUUUACAAACACAGGGAAUCUGUGAUGAGAUUAAUUUAUUUUUGUGGUACUUGUAUAAAAUGUAUUUUAUUCAAUACACUGUAAGUGUUACUUGUACUUAUAACAGGUUUCCUGACUGUACAAUUAAGGUGUUACCAAUAAUGAAUAAAAAACAUAAUCUUUA